rnacentral:rRNA from 1 species
GCUCAGGAUGAACGCUGGCGGCGUGCUUAACACAUGCAAGUCGAACGGUGAAGCCAAGCUUGCUUGGUGGAUCAGUGGCGAACGGGUGAGUAACACGUGAGCAACCUGCCCUGGACUCUGGGAUAAGCGCUGGAAACGGUGUCUAAUACUGGAUAUGAGGCGUGAUCGCAUGGUCAUGUUUGGAAAGAUUUUUCGGUCUGGGAUGGGCUCGCGGCCUAUCAGCUUGUUGGUGAGGUAAUGGCUCACCAAGGCGUCGACGGGUAGCCGGCCUGAGAGGGUGACCGGCCACACUGGGACUGAGACACGGCCCAGACUCCUACGGGAGGCAGCAGUGGGGAAUAUUGCACAAUGGGCGCAAGCCUGAUGCAGCAACGCCGCGUGAGGGAUGACGGCCUUCGGGUUGUAAACCUCUUUUAGCAGGGAAGAAGCGUGAGUGACGGUACCUGCAGAAAAAGCGCCGGCUAACUACGUGCCAGCAGCCGCGGUAAUACGUAGGGCGCAAGCGUUAUCCGGAAUUAUUGGGCGUAAAGAGCUCGUAGGCGGUUUGUCGCGUCUGCUGUGAAAUCCCGAGGCUCAACCUCGGGCCUGCAGUGGGUACGGGCAGACUAGAGUGCGGUAGGGGAGAUUGGAAUUCCUGGUGUAGCGGUGGAAUGCGCAGAUAUCAGGAGGAACACCGAUGGCGAAGGCAGAUCUCUGGGCCGUAACUGACGCUGAGGAGCGAAAGGGUGGGGAGCAAACAGGCUUAGAUACCCUGGUAGUCCACCCCGUAAACGUUGGGAACUAGUUGUGGGGACCAUUCCACGGUUUCCGUGACGCAGCUAACGCAUUAA